rnacentral:rRNA from 1 species
GACAGAGGGGGCAAGCGUUGCUCGGAAUUACUGGGCGUAAAGGGCGCGUAGGCGGGAUGGCAAGUCGGUCGUGAAAUACCUCGGCUCAACUGAGGAGCGUCGAUCGAAACUGCCGUUCUUGAGGGUUGCAGAGGAGACUGGAAUUCCUGGUGUAGCGGUGAAAUGCGUAGAUAUCGGGAGGAACACCGGUGGCGAAGGCGGCUACCUGGACAGAAACUGACGCUGAGGCGCGAAAGCUAGGGGAGCAAACAGG